rnacentral:rRNA from 1 species
UACGAGGGGGGCAAGCGUUGUUCGGAAUUAUUGGGCGUAAAGGGUGCGUAGGCGGUCUGAUAAGUCAUCUGUGAAAUCUAUGGGCUCAACCCAUAGUCUGCAGGCGAAACUGUCGGGCUUGAGUAUGGGAGAGGUGAGUGGAAUUUCCGGUGUAGCGGUGAAAUGCGUAGAUAUCGGAAGGAACACCUGUGGCGAAAGCGGCUUCCUGGUCCAGCACCGACGUUCAGGCACGAAAGCGUGGGGAGCAAACAGG